AUUGAACGCUGGCGGCAGGCCUAACACAUGCAAGUCGAGCGGCAGCGGGAAAGUAGCUUGCUACUUUUGCCGGCGAGCGGCGGACGGGUGAGUAAUGCCUGGGGAUCUGCCCAGUCGAGGGGGAUAACAGUUGGAAACGACUGCUAAUACCGCAUACGCCCUACGGGGGAAAGGAGGGGACCUUCGGGCCUUUCGCGAUUGGAUGAACCCAGGUGGGAUUAGCUAGUUGGUGGGGUAAUGGCUCACCAAGGCGACGAUCCCUAGCUGGUCUGAGAGGAUGAUCAGCCACACUGGAACUGAGACACGGUCCAGACUCCUACGGGAGGCAGCAGUGGGGAAUAUUGCACAAUGGGGGAAACCCUGAUGCAGCCAUGCCGCGUGUGUGAAGAAGGCCUUCGGGUUGUAAAGCACUUUCAGCGAGGAGGAAAGGUUGGCGCCUAAUACGUGUCAACUGUGACGUUACUCGCAGAAGAAGCACCGGCU
rnacentral:rRNA from 1 species